rnacentral:lncRNA from 1 species
ACAGGCAAGAAUGACAAGGACUCAAAUGACCUUGGAAGAUCAUGUGCACAUGGCAGAGCUGCUCUCCUGGACCCUCAACGGCCCCAAGGAUCAGAGCUGCCCACAGACUGGGUUAAUUCAGUUUCCAUUUACUCAUGUGCAUGUGGAAGAAAUUUUCCCAGAAGAAAAAAAAAAGAGAAGUGGGAUGAGGAUGACCUUUUUUAAAAGUUUAAAGGCUCAUUGGCUGAUAUCUCAAGAAUGGACUGGGGAAGGAGGAGUGGGGACAUUUACUGUGUUUCAAACUCCUUUCCUCUGAAAAACAUCUAUAAAGAAGACAACCAUGAUGAUGAUGACAAUGAUGGACGGCUCCUGGCAUUUAGAAUUUUGUAAGCAGAACCACUAUAUUUUACCUAAUGCAGAUUACAUUUAGAUUUCUUCAAUUAAAAAGAAAACACAUCUCAGCUGCCUGUGUCUUACAGGGAAAAAUCUGUUGAAUCACACUUGCUGCGUAAAACAGCUGAUACCAUAUGGCCCCCAUGGCUCCUGAGGGGGAAGAGUGUGAGGAACAGGAAAUCCCUGUGAACUGUCCAUGAUGUUUGACAGCUAAAUGCGUAGGUUUUACAUACAAGUUGGUCUCAAAGUGCUUUUAUAUCACUGAAGUUCCUUGUUUUUCUUUCUAAAUCUCUACAUAUUCGUGUUCCUUAUUUUACAAGAUCUACAACCACACAAUACCCUUUUAUUCUCUCUUCUUCAUAUAUAAUAGUAAAAGCACAUUUGUGACUUUUUUAUUCCCAAUGAGAGUGAGAGCUUUACAAAUUUACUUGCUCAAUUCAUUAUUUAUUGACCACCUACUAUGGACCAGGCUUUGUUCUAUAGACACUAGGAAUCUAGUAGUAAAUAAAUCAUAAAUUCCUGUCCUCA